rnacentral:rRNA from 1 species
GAUGAACGCUGGCGGCGUGCCUAAUACAUGCAAGUCGAGCGAAAGGACGAGAAGCUUGCUUCUCUGAUGUUAGAGGCGGACGGGUGAGUAACACGUGGAUAACCUAACUAUCAGACUGGGAUAACUUCGGGAAACAGUAGCUAAUACCGGAUAAUUUUUUGACCCGCAUGGCUCAAAAGUGAAAGACGGUCUUGCUGUCACUUAUAGCUGGAUCAGCGCUGCAUUCGUUAGUUGGUAAGGUAACGGCUUACCAAGGCAACGAUGGAUAGACGACCCGAGCGGGUGGUCGGCCAGACGGGAAGAGAGGCAGGUUCCAGACACCGGCAGUAAGACACGGUAGGGAAUCCUCCGCGAGGGGGGAAAGGGGGACAUAGCAACGCCGCGGGAAUGAUGAAGGUCUUCGGAUCGUAAAGCGCUGUUGUCAGGAGAGUUCAAAUGUUCAAGUAACUGGGCUGAUCUUGACGGUACCGAAUCAAAAAGCCACGGCUAACUACGUG